GAUGAACGCUGGCGGCGUGCCUAAUACAUGCAAGUCGAGCGAACAGACGAGGAGCUUUCUCCUCUGACGUUAGCGGCUGACGGGUGAGUAACACGUGGAUAACCUACCUCUAAUUCUUGGAUAACUUCGUGAAACCGGAUCUAAUACCGGAUAAUAUAUUGUACCGCAUGGUUCAAUAGUUAAAGACGGUUUUGCUGUCUCUUAUAGCUGGUUCCGCGCCGCAUUAGCUAGUUGGUAAUGUAACGGCUUACCAAGGCAACGUUGCGUAACCGACCUGAGAGGGGGAACGGAAAAAGGGGAAGGGAAAAAGGGACAAGAGACCAAGGGGAGGCAGAGGGAGGGAAACUGCAGAAAGGGGGGAAAGCCUGAAGGAGCAAAGCGGCGUGAGUGAGGAAGGGCUUCGGAUGGAAAAACGCUGUGAUGAGGAAAGAAAAAAGGUGUAAGAAACUAAGCAGGUCUGAACGGAACCAAAGCAGAAAGCCACGGCAAACUACGG
rnacentral:rRNA from 1 species